GAGGGGUGCGCUUGGUCCGCGGCGGCUGUUGGCGAACGAUUGGCCCGCGAGCGCACUUUCGCUCUUCCGCCCGCGAUCUCCGCAAAGUGAAGUUGCUGACACACAGGAAACCCUCCCCGCCGCCUGGAGCCCGCUGCCUGCUCCGGAGCCGACCAGUCACAGGCCGGAGUCUCGAAGGCCCCCUAGCACCAAGCCAGGUGUUUGCAGACUGCAAACAGCCAGCAGUCCCGGCUGGGAACGCCCAGGCCAAGCGCGGCGCCUCGCUGUGCCGAGCACAUAGGGAUCCUGCCCUAUAGCUGGGAGAAAGAAUGCUGCACAGAGAGGAUGAGAAGAAUUUACACAGGUAAGACUUGCCAAGUUUUCUUCUCAGGACGCUGUCCUUAGAUCAUACUAUUUUUGCCCAAUCACAUUUCUACAUGCUGUCAAUUCUUUUCAAAAUACAAAUAAAAUCGAUUAGUUUUCAGUGGGUCUUUGGGUCUGCACUUGUGAGGGCUCCCAUGUCACAUAAAAUUUGAUUAAAUCCAGUUAUCACACCUUUCCACUCAUACCGAUAUAAAUUACUGAUCUUCAAGAGAUGUAAAUGGAUUUGACACCUACAGAGCACUGUUUUAAUCUUUGAAAAUAUUCUGUGACAAU
rnacentral:lncRNA from 1 species